CGCGAGGUGAAAGUCAAACCCCCAGCUCAUCUGGAACGGAUCUUAUCAGUUUAUAUGGGUUGGCCCGAGCAGGCCCAGUGACCAUGCUGCACUUCCGGAUGGCAGAAGAGAGAGAAGAGAGUUGGCUGGCAGUGGGGAGCUUGUAAACAUCUUUGACUGGAAGCUGGGUCAAUACAGUGGGCUUUCAGUCAGAUGUUUGCAGUCGCCGACUGUCACAGGUCUGCCGGCAACUAUAAUCAAAACACUUAAGGACUACUGCGUAACUGUGUACACACACACACACACACACACACACACACACACACACACACACACACACACACACACACACACACACACACACACAUAAACACAAAAA